AUCACGCUGGCCGGUGGCGUGCCGCUGGCACUGGCGCUGGGCGUGCUGGCGCUGCGCGUGGCCGGGUUCGACGCCGGCAGCGUGGUGC
rnacentral:tRNA from 1 species